rnacentral:lncRNA from 1 species
AGCACUUUAAGCAGGAACAAAUAUGAAAUUUAUUAUUAGUUAUUCACUACAAAAACUAAUAAUAAUAUACAAUAAUAUUUUCAGCCUUUUAUGGCCCUCUUCACCAUUUCUUACAAGUAUGUGUCUUGGUUCUACACUAAGGUGCAAUGCAGGCCAUCUCUAUUAGGUUGGUUUACAAAUAAACAUCUAACUAAGACUCCACAUUGACAUUUAAACAAUUACAGGGUGUUAAAAUUCACUGAUAUAUAAAUAUUAAUCUUUUUACAGUAUUUUUACUACAUUAAAUUAAUAAUGAAAAAUCUUUUCUUUGAUAAGUCUAAAAAAUCAUCAUCCUGGGAAAUGAAUAUUAUAAUAGCAUGCUUGAAGGUUUCAUUAGGGAAAGUAUGUCGAAAGAAAUGGUCCAAGAUCUGACAGAUAGGCUAUAAAGGGAAGUUAUCAAACUGAAUAAAGACUUCAAACUUCUGAACUUUCUCAGAAACACAGUUGUUAAGGCACCAGCUUGCUUUCCUUAAGUUGCAUAAAACUGAUCAUAACAAGACCCAUCAUUGAAAAAUUUAGAUUCCUAUGCUAUCUGACAGAAAAGAAACUGGCUGCAUAGUGUGGGGAAUGCAUGAGAGGAUAUGAAUACAGUCUCUUCUCAACUCAAGAAUUCCUAGAUGCUCUCAAUACUAUAGGUUCCUUUCCCUAUGAAGUGAUGUCUGUGUUUGAUUACAAAUCUCUUUAUCCACUGAUAAGCAUAGAACCUGCAUAUCUAGAGCUAAACAAGUUUAUAAUAAAGUAUCUAUCCUCCAAAUCCAGUAAGGAAAUGAUCAGAAACAUUUGUCAUUUAUUAUGCCAUGAAUCGUAUUUUAUUUUCUGGGGAAAUAUUACAUAUAGAGAAGGGGAGUAGUGAUUUGUAGCCCAUUGACAAGAGUUCUAACUGAACUGAUUUUAAGGAAAAAAGGAAGAAGAUAUCCUCCCAGUUUUACUACCAAAAGUCAAACUAUAUAGAUAUUACAUAGACAAGGUCAUGUGAAAGCAUAGAAGACACUGAAUUGAAAGCCUAUUCAUGGAUACAGCCUUAAGUAUUAAAUUAAAACUUGAAAGGAAGAAUGACAAAGUUUUAAACUAUUUGGACAUCAUGAUUAUGAUUAAGGGAGGGAAUAUCACACAGUCUACAAAGUCAAUAUCAAGUCUACAAAGAGAAUAUAUACACACCAUUUCUGAUCACAAGACUUAUGGCUAUAAAAUUUUCUUGUUCAAAUCUUUCUUGAGAAGGAUACCAAUUGUAGUACAACUCAAGCUAAGAUGAAGGAGUUAAAGUGGAUUAUGAAGGAAGCAGUAAGACAUGAAUACAGCAAUAGAGUAGCCUAUAUAUGAUAAUGCACAAAAAUGAUUGAAAAAAUACAGAGGGAAACUUGGUACAGAAGGAUGGAAGUGGCUAGACCAAUUUUUAGAUGCCAUAGAUUGAUUGAGAAAAACUAACUGUAGUAUUGCAUUUUCAGGAAGGAACACAAUUUUCAACAGAGUUAGGAAUGACAAAGAUCAACUUCCUCUAGAAAGAAGAACAGGCAUUUAUAAAAUAGAUCUUUUCAACCAUGAUAUGAGCCAGAAAGAGCAAUAUAUUGAUUAUAUGUUGAGAAAUUUGAUAACAAGAAUUAAUAAACAUUUCAGGAAAAUUAACAGUGAAGUACUAAUGACUGCCAUAUCAUGGAGGGUCUACCAAUGUAAGGUAGAUGUGCUAUGGGAUGAAGUGCAGGUUAUUAAAUCAAUUAGAGACUUGAAACAAAGGUUAACAGCUGAGAUACUCACUAUCUUCCAUAAAAAGUUAGAGGGAUGUGCAAUCUCAAAUGAAGAUGACCUAAGUAGAUUAAACUAUGCAUAGAGAGAUGAUGAUAUUUUAAUAGCAGCUGAAUUGAGCUUGUGCUAUUUACUGGAGAUGUCAAACUUCAUUUCCAGUAUACAGCAUGAAUUCCAUUUCUCCAAAUAAUCUUAGCUGUCUAAUAUUUAUUAUUGUAAUUUGUAUUUUUGCU